GACGAACGCUGGCGGCGUGCUUAACACAUGCAAGUCGAACGGAAAGGCCCUGCUUUUGUGGGGUGCUCGAGUGGCGAACGGGUGAGUAACACGUGAGUAACCUGCCCUUGACUUUGGGAUAACUUCAGGAAACUGGGGCUAAUACCGGAUAGGAGCUCCUGCUGCAUGGUGGGGGUUGGAAAGUUUCGGCGGUUGGUGAUGGACUCGCGGCUUAUCAGCUUGUUGGUGGGGUAGUGGCUUACCAAGGCUUUGACGGGUAGCCGGCCUGAGAGGGUGACCGGCCACAUUGGGACUGAGAUACGGCCCAGACUCCUACGGGAGGCAGCAGUGGGGAAUAUUGCACAAUGGGCGGAAGCCUGAUGCAGCAACGCCGCGUGCGGGAUGACGGCCUUCGGGUUGUAAACCGCUUUCGCCUGUGACGAAGCGUGAGUGACGGGAAUGGGUAAAGAAGCACCGGCGAACUACGU
rnacentral:rRNA from 1 species